rnacentral:rRNA from 1 species
CAGGCCUAACACAUGCAAGUCGAGCGGAUGACGGGAGCUUGCUCCUUGAUUCAGCGGCGGACGGGUGAGUAAUGCCUAGGAAUCUGCCUGGUAGUGGGGGACAACGUUUCGAAAGGAACGCUAAUACCGCAUACGUCCUACGGGAGAAAGCAGGGGACCUUCGGGCCUUGCGCUAUCAGAUGAGCCUAGGUCGGAUUAGCUUGUUGGUGAGGUAAUGGCUUACCAAGGCGACGAUGACUAGGGGAGCUGAGAGGCUGGUCCCCCACACGGGCACUGAGAUACGGGCCCGACUCCUACGGGAGGCAGCAGUAGGGAAUAUUGGGCAAUGGGCGAGAGCCUGACCCAGCCAUGCCGCGUGCAGGAAGAAGGCUUUCUGAGUCGUAAACUGCUUUUGAUAGGGAAGAAUAAGCACUACGUGUAGUGUGAUGACGGUACCUACAGAAUAAGCACCGGCUAACUCCGUGCCAGCAGCCGCGGUAAU